UGGGGAAUUUUGGACAAUGGGCGAAAGCCUGAUCCAGCAAUGCCGCGUGUGUGAAGAAGGCCUUCGGGUUGUAAAGCACUUUUGUCCGGAAAGAAAUCCUUGGCUCUAAUACAGUCGGGGGAUGACGGUACCGGAAGAAUAAGCACCGGCUAACUACGUGCCAGCAGCCGCGGUAAUACGUAGGGUGCAAGCGUUAAUCGGAAUACUGGGCGUAAAGCGUGCGCAGGCGGUUUGCUAAGACCGAUGUGAAAUCCCCGGGCUCAACCUGGGAACUGCAUUGGUGACUGGCAGGCUAGAGUAUGGCAGAGGGGGGUAGAAUUCCACGUGUAGCAGUGAAAUGCGUAGAGAUGUGGAGGAAUACCGAUGGCGAAGGCAGCCCCCUGGGCCAAUACUGACGCUCAUGCACGAAAGCGUGGGGAGCAAACAGGAUUAGAUACCCUGGUAGUCCACGCCCUAAACGAUGUCAACUAGUUGUUGGGGAUUCAUUUCCUUAGUAACGUAGCUAACGCGUGAAGUUGACCGCCUGGGGAGUACGGUCGCAAGAUUAAAACUCAAAUGAAUUGACGGGGUCAUAGCUG
rnacentral:rRNA from 1 species